rnacentral:rRNA from 1 species
GACGAACGCUGGCGGCAGGCCUAACACAUGCAAGUCGAACGAGUGGCGGACGGGUGAGUAAUGUCUGGGAAACUGCCCGAUGGAGGGGGAUAACUACUGGAAACGGUAUCUAAUACCGCAUACCAUCGGAUGUGCCCAGAUGGGAUUAGCUAGUAGGUGGGGUAAAGGCUCACCUAGGCGACGCUCUCUAGCGGGUUGGAGAGGAUGACCAGACACACUGGGACUGAGACACGGUCCAGACUCCUACGGGAGGCAGCAGUGGGGAAUAUUGCACAAUGGGCGAAAGCCUGAUGCAGCCAUGCCGCGUGUAUGAAGAAGGCCUUCGGGUUGUAAAGUACUUUCAGCGAGGAGGCGUUACUCGCAGAAGAAGCACCGGCUAACUCCGUGCCAGCAGCCGCGGUAAUUC